GAGCCUCACUUAACAAAACAUCUCUCCCAUAGAGAAGCCCCUGAUAGCACAGAUCCUCAUCAUGGACUGGAGCUUGAGAUUCCUAUUCUUGGUGGCAGCAGCUACAGGUGUCCACUCCCAGGUCCAACUGGUGCAAUCUGGGGCUGAGGUGAGGAAGCCUGGGGCCUCAGUGAAGGUUUCCUGCAAGGCUUCUGGAUACACCUUCACCAACUAUGAUAUUACAUGGGUGCGACAGGCUCCUGGACAAGGCCUUGAGUGGAUGGGAUGGGUCAACACCAAUAAUGGAAACACAGACUAUGCACAGAAGUUCCAGGGCAGAGUCAAAAUGACCAGGGACACAUCCACAAGCACAGCCUGCAUGGAGCUGAGCAGUCUGAGCCCUGAGGACACGGCCGUGUAUUACUGCGCGAGAGACACAGUGUGAAAACCCACAUCCUGAGAGUGUCAGAAACCCUGAGGGAAAAGGCAGCUGUUCCGGGUUGAGGGGAUGACAGGCAUUCUGAGGUAUUAUAUUGUGUAGAAAAUGAUGUUAUUAUCUUAGAAAAA